AUUGAACGCUGGCGGCAGGCCUAACACAUGCAAGUCGAACGGUAACAGGAAACAGCUUGCUGUUUUCGCUGACGAGUGGCGGACGGGUGAGUAAUGUCUGGGAAACUGCCUGAUGGAGGGGGAUAACUACUGGAAACGGUAGCUAAUACCGCAUAACGUCGCAAGACCAAAAGAGGGGGACCCUCGGGCCUCUUGCCAUCGGAUGUGCCCAGAUGGGAUUAGCUUGUUGGUGGGGUUAACGGCUCACCAAGGCGACGAUCCCUAGCUGGUCUGAGAGGAUGACCAGCCACACUGGAACUGAGACACGGUCCAGACUCUACGGAGGCAGCAUGGG
rnacentral:rRNA from 1 species